rnacentral:rRNA from 1 species
UACGGAGGGGGCGAGCGUUAUUCGGAAUUAUUGGGCAUAAAGGGCGCGUAGGCGGCUUGAUGUGUCAAAGGUGAAAUCCCUCGGCUCAACUGAGGAACUGCCUUUGAAACUGUCUGGCUUGAGGCCGGGAGAGGGUAGCGGAAUUCCCAGUGUAGCGGUGAAAUGCGUGGAUACUGGGAGGAACACCGGUGGCGAAGGCGGGUUGCUGGGCUGACACUGACGCUGAUGCGCGAAAGCUAGGGGAGCGAACGGG